rnacentral:rRNA from 1 species
GGCUCAGGAUGAACGCUGGCGGUAUGCUUAACACAUGCAAGUCGAACGGAAUCUUAGGAUUUAGUGGCGGACGGGUGAGUAACGCGUGAGAAUCUAGCUUCAGGUCGGGGAUAACUACUGGAAACGGUAGCUAAUACCGGAUGUGCCGAGAGGUGAAAGGCUAGCUGCCUGAAGAUGAGCUCGCGUCUGAUUAGCUAGUUGGUAGUGUAAGCAGACUACCAAGGCGACGAUCAGUAGCUGGUCUGAGAGGAUGAUCAGCCACACUGGGACUGAGACACGGCCCAGACUCCUACGGGAGGCAGCAGUGGGGAAUUUUCCGCAAUGGGCGAAAGCCUGACGGAGCAAUACCGCGUGAGGGAGGAAGGCUCUUGGGUUGUAAACCUCUUUUCUCAAGGAAUAAGAACUGAAGGUACUUGAGGAAUCAGCAUCGGCUAACUCCGUGCCAGCAGCCGCGGUAAUACGGAGGAUGCAAGCGUUAUCCGGAAUGAUUGGGCGUAAAGCGUCCGCAGGUGGCUGUGUAAGUCUGCUGUUAAAGAGUCUAGCUUAACUAGAUAAGAGCAGUGGAAACUACAUAGCUAGAGUGCGUUCGGGGUAGAGGGAAUUCCUGGUGUAGCGGUGAAAUGCGUAGAGAUCAGGAAGAACACCGGUGGCGAAGGCGCUCUACUAGGCCGCAACUGACACUGAGGGACGAAAGCUAGGGGAGCGAAUGGGAUUAGAUACCCCAGUAGUCCUAGCCGUAAACGAUGGAUACUAGGCGUUGCGAGUAUCGACCCUCGGCAGGUGCCCGGAGCCAACGCGUUAAGUAUCCCCGCCUGGGGGAGUACGCACCGCAAGUGUGAAAACUCAAAAGGGAAUUGACGGGGGGCUCCGCACAAAGCGCGUGGAGUAUGUGGGUUUAAUUCGAUGCAACCCCGCCACCCCCCUUACCAAGGCUUGACAUGUCGCGAACCCUGAUGAAAGUUAGGGGUGCCUUCGGGAGCGCGCAACACAGGUGGUGCAUGGCUGUCGUCAGCUCGUGUCGUGAGAUGUUGGGUUAAGUCCCGCAACGAGCGCAACCCUCGUUUUUAGUUGCCAGCAUUAAGUUGGGCACUCUAGAGAGACUGCCGGUGACAAACCGGAGGAAGGUGGGGAUGACGUCAAGUCAGCAUGCCCCUUACGUCUUGGGCUACACACGUACUACAAUGCUCCGAACAGAGGGCAGCGAGCGUGCGAACGCAAGCAAAUCCCGGAAAUCGGAGCUCAGUUCAGAUCGAAGGCUGCAACUCGCCUUCGUGAAGGAGGAAUCGCUAGUAAUUGCAGGUCAGCAUACUGCAGUGAAUUCGUUCCCGGGCCUUGUACACACCGCCCGUCACACCAUGGAAGCUGGCAACGCCCGAAGUCAUUACCCCAACUUUUCAAAAGAGGGGGAUGCCUAAGGCAGUGCUGGUGACUGGGGUGAAGUCGUAACAAGGUAGCCGUACCGGAAGGUGUGGCUGGAUCACCUCSWWUUAGGGAGACCUACCCAAAUUGGAAUCAAAGCAAGCAGCGAAUAGGGAACAAGAUGGUCAUCCAAGGUCGGUGGAGUUGGGUAAAAGCUUUCAAAGUAUCGAAUGGUUUCCAGUAAAAACCCAGAAAAAAAGAGAAAAGCCAAAGGAAAAACUAGCAACUAACUUGAGUUAGACUGCUGGAUAGUUCCAGCCAGAACCUUGAAAACUGCAUAGAAACGCGAAAUUAGCAGGCAGUCAAAAAAGUCAAAAGUGAAAAGUCAAAAGUGAAAAGCUGGAGACAAGAUACAAAAGACAAAGGACUGUCAU